ensembl:lncRNA
GAGGCUACAGUCCCUCUACCACCACAGAGAGGUGGAGGAGAGGUGGAGGCUACGGUCCCUCUACCACCACAGAGAGGUGGAGGAGAGGUGGAGGCUACAGUCCCUCUACCACCACAGAGAGGUGGAGGAGAGGUGGAGGCUACAGUCCCUCUACCACCACAGAGAGGUGGAGGAGAGGUGGAGGCUACAGUCCCUCUACCACCACAGAGAGGUGGAGGAGAGGUGGAGGCUACGGUCCCUCUACCACCACAGAGAGGUGGAGGAGAGGUGGAGGCUACAGUCCCUCUACCACCACAGAGAGGUGGAGGGAGUGGAGGCCAGACACUCUUUACUAAGACAUUGCUUUGCUCCACUGUGCUCUGAACAUGCUGUUUGUGUUCUAGCGUUCCUUGACAGGAAGUGUGUGUGUGUGUGUUUGUGUCGCGCAAACUUGUUUGCAUCAAACUCUGAUGCACGUGUGAAAACGGAGGAAAUCAUUUUCCAGUCCCCAGUCCC